GAUGAACGCUGGCGGCGUGCCUAACACAUGCAAGUCGAACGAACCUGAUCUUCGGAAAAGGUUAGUGGCGCACGGGUGAGUAACACGUAGGUGACCUGCCCUGGAGUGGGGGAUAACUUCUCGAAAGAGAGGCUAAUACCGCAUACGCUCGGCCAUUCAGUCGGUCGAGGAAAGCUCCGGCGCUCCAGGAGGGGCCUGCGUCCGAUUAGCUAGUUGGUGAGGUAAUGGCUGACCAAGGCGAUGAUCGGUAGCUGGUCUGAGAGGACGAGCAGCCACACUGGCACUGACACACGGGCCAGACUCCUACGGGAGGCAGCAGUGAGGAAUAUUGGUCAAUGGGCGAAAGCCUGAACCAGCAACGCCGCGUGAGGGAUGAAGGCCUUCGGGUCGUAAACCUCUUUUCUGGGAGAAGAGACAAGGACGGUAUCCCAGGAAUAAGUCUCGGCUAACUACGUGCCAGCCGCCGCCGUAACAC
rnacentral:rRNA from 1 species